UACGUAGGAGGCGAGCGUUGUCCGGAUUUACUGGGCGUAAAGCGCGCGCAGGCGGCAUGGCAAGUAAGAUGUGAAAUCUCCCUGCUCAACGGGGAGGGUGCAUUUUAGACUGCCAAGCUAGAGGACGGUAGAGGGGGGUAGAAUUGCUGGUGUAGCGGUGAAAUGCGUAGAGAUCAGCAGGAAUACCCGUGGCGAAGGCGGCCCCCUGGGCCGAACCUGACGCUGAGGCGCGAAGGCUAGGGGAGCGAACGGG
rnacentral:rRNA from 1 species